UACGUAGGGGGCAAGCGUUGUCCGGAAUCAUUGGGCGUAAAGCGCGUGUAGGCGGCUCGGAAAGUCUGGUGUGAAAUCUUGAGGCUCAACCUCAAGCUGUCACUGGAUACUGUCGAGCUUGAGUCCGGAAGAGGAGUGUGGAAUUCCUGGUGUAGCGGUGGAAUGCGCAGAUAUCAGGAAGAACACCCGUGGCGAAAGCGGCUCUCUGGGACGGUACUGACGCUGAGACGCGAAAGCGUGGGGAGCGAACAGG
rnacentral:rRNA from 1 species